rnacentral:tRNA from 1 species
GGGGAUGUAGCUCAGUGGUUGAGUACCUGCUUCCCAUGUAUGAGGCCCUGGGUUCAAUCCCCAGUACCUCCU